UUGAGAAACAGAAAAAUCUUAAAAAUAGUUUUUACAAACAACAAAUCCGUGUUUAUCGAUCGAAUCACUAAUUCAUCUGGUGGUGCCGUCGCCCCUCUCAUUCUCUUAGCCUUCUUCAGCUCCUCUCAUCCGGUUCCUCUUUCUCUUGCACUAAUUUUGGCGUAAUUCAUGGAGAAUUAGAGGCAUUGUUUGAGGAGGGCAUUUUAGGUACUGGUGUGGUGUUUUGGAUUUGGAACAAUGUCCCGAAAGGACAACGUCAACCAGUGCCGUUGUCGGUUCUACUGCAACGAGAAUCUGACAAUGAAAAUAUAGAGAACCGGAGAUUGUACACGGACUAGCGAGCCAGAGAAAAGGUGAGGACUUUACGUUGCUUCAAACGGAAUGCCAAAGACAAUCGGAGACUGUGUCACCACAUUUCAGUUUUCGGGCUCUUUGAUGGACACAAUGGAGCUGCUGCUGCUAUUACACUAAAGAGAAUCUCCU